rnacentral:snRNA from 1 species
CUACUUAAAAGAAUGGCAGCACAUACACUAAAACUGGAACGAUACAGAGAAGAUUAGCAUGGCCCCUGUGCAAGGAUGACACGCAAAUUUGGGAAGCGUUCCGUAUUUUU